rnacentral:rRNA from 1 species
ACACAGGUCUCUGCUAAACCGUAAGGUGAUGUAUAGGGGCUGACGCCUGCCCGGUGCUGGAAGGUUAAGAGGAGUGGUUAGCUUCUGCGAAGCUACGAAUCGAAGCCCCAGUAAACGGCGGCCGUAACUAUAACGGUCCUAAGGUAGCGAAAUUCCUUGUCGGGUAAGUUCCGACCCGCACGAAAGGCGUAACGAUUUGGGCACUGUCUCAACGAGAGACUCGGUGAAAUCAUAGUACCUGUGAAGAUGCAGGUUACCCGCGACAGGACGGAAAGACCCCGUGGAGCUUUACUGUAGCCUGAUAUUGAAAUUCGGCACAGCUUGUACAGGAUAGGUAGGAGCCUUUGAAACGUGAGCGCUAGCUUACGUGGAGGCGCUGGUGGGAUACUACCCUAGCUGUGUUGGCUUUCUAACCCGCACCACUUAUCGUGGUGGGAGACAGUGUCAGGCGGGCAGUUUGACUG